GUGUUGUAUGAAAGGAGAGAUGGUUAGCACUCCUUAUCAUAAAAAGAGAAGAGGUGCUUAGUGGUCUUUAUAAAACACAUGUGCACAAUUAAUAGGGAAAUAUGUUU
ensembl:snRNA